GGCCACGUGGCCGAGCGGCUAGGCGUAGGUCUGCAAAACCUUUUUACAGCGGUUCGAAUCCGCUCGUGGCCU
rnacentral:tRNA from 1 species